CGCCAUUCGGAAAUCACAUAUCUGAUGAAUUUUCAAUUUAUUCACAAAUAUAAAGUCUUAACAUGCAUAAAAAUAGGGGAUACUUACUUUCAACUGUUCGCUGUCCAUUUCUUAAACAAUAAAAAUGCAAUAAAUAUUAAUACAAAGUCGGAUUGACAGGAUUGAAAUCAGAAAAGCACUCACCCGUAUCGAAAGAACUUGUCACCAUCAUGCCACAUGCACAGAGAUCGUGCUGAAAAACCGGAAGUCGAGAUCAGUCACUGAUCUCAUUCAUCGUCUGGAU